ensembl:miRNA
AGCUGGAAACUUUGCCUGGGAAUUUCUGUGCUCAAAAAUUUCAGUCAUUGUUUCUGGUCGU